GAUGAACGCUAGCUACAGGCUUAACACAUGCAAGUCGAGGGGCAGCAUGAAGUUUGCUUGCAAACUUUGAUGGCGACCGGCGCACGGGUGAGUAACGCGUAUCCAACCUUCCCCUUACUAGGGAAUAGCCCGGCGAAAGUCGGAUUAAUGCCCUAUGUUCUCCUUUGCGGGCAUCUAACGAGGAGCAAAGAUUCAUCGGUAAGGGAUGGGGAUGCGUCUGAUUAGGCAGUCGGCGGGGUAACGGCCCACCUGGCCAACGAUCGUUAGGGGUUCUGAGAGGAAGGUCCCCCACACUGGUACUGAGACACGGACCAGACUCC
rnacentral:rRNA from 1 species